rnacentral:rRNA from 1 species
UACGAAGGGGGCUAGCGUUGCUCGGAAUCACUGGGCGUAAAGGGUGCGUAGGCGGGUUUUUAAGUCGGGGGUGAAAUCCUGGAGCUCAACUCCAGAACUGCCUUUGAUACUGAAGAUCUUGAGUCCGGGAGAGGUGAGUGGAACUGCGAGUGUAGAGGUGAAAUUCGUAGAUAUUCGCAAGAACACCCGUGGCUAAGGCGGCUCUCUAGUACGGUACUGACGCUGAGACGCGAAAAGCGUGGGGGAGCGAACAGG